rnacentral:rRNA from 1 species
AGUGAACGCUGGCGGUAGGCCUAACACAUGCAAGUCGAACGGCAGCACAGUAAGAGCUUGCUCUUACGGGUGGCGAGUGGCGGACGGGUGAGGAAUACAUCGGAAUCUACUUUUUCGUGGGGGAUAACGUAGGGAAACUUACGCUAAUACCGCAUACGACCUACGGGUGAAAGCAGGGGAUCUUCGGACCUUGCGCGAUUGAAUGAGCCGAUGUCGGAUUAGCUAGUUGGCGGGGUAAAGGCCCACCAAGGCGACGAUCCGUAGCUGGUCUGAGAGGAUGAUCAGCCACACUGGAACUGAGACACGGUCCAGACUCCUACGGGAGGCAGCAGUGGGGAAUAUUAGACAAUGGGCGCAAGCCUGAUCCAGCCAUGCCGCGUGAGUGAAGAAGGCCUUCGGGUUGUAAAGCCCUUUUGUUGGGAAAGAAAAGCAGCAGGUUAAUACCCCGCUGUUCUGACGGUACCCAAAGAAUAAGCACCGGCUAACUUCGUG